rnacentral:tRNA from 1 species
UCCUCCAUAGCUCAAUAGUAGAGCACCCGCUUUGUAACCGGGGGACCACGGUGCGAUCCCGUGCGGAGGAUCCA